GUGAGGAAUAUUGGUCAAUGGAGGCAACUCUGAACCAGCCAAGUCGCGUGAAGGAUGAAGGUCUUAUGGAUUGUAAACUUCUUUUGCAAGGGAAUAAAGUGGGGGACGUGUCCUCCUUUGCAUGUACCUUGCGAAUAAGGAUCGGCUAACUCCGUGCCAGCAGCCGCGGUAAUACGGAGGAUCCGAGCGUUAUCCGGAUUUAUUGGGUUUAAAGGGUGCGCAGGCGGGAUGUUAAGUCGGCGGUGAAAUUUUGCAGCUCAACUGUAAAAGUGCCUUCGAUACUGGCUUUCUUGAGUGUGGAUGAAGUAGGCGGAAUUUGUGGUGUAGCGGUGAAAUGCUUAGAUAUCACGAGGAACUCCGAUUGCGCAGGCAGCUUACUAAACCACUACUGACGCUCAUGCACGAAGGCGUGGGGAUCAAACAGGAUUAGAAACCCCGGUAGUCC
rnacentral:rRNA from 1 species